GCGUCAGUAGUUCAGUUGGCAGAGCAGUGGGAUGGUGUCCCAUAGUUCCGGGUUCAAGCCCCGGCCGACGCU